rnacentral:rRNA from 1 species
CCUACGGGGGGCUGCAGUGGGGAAUAUUGGACAAUGGGCGCAAGCCUGAUCCAGCAAUGCCGCGUGUGUGAAGAAGGCCUGCGGGUUGUAAAGCACUUUAAGCAGGAAAGAAGGGGUGAAAGUUAAUACCUUUCAUCAUUGACGUUACCUGCAGAAUAAGCACCGGCUAACUCCGUGCCAGCAGCCGCGGUAAUACGGAGGGUGCGAGCGUUAAUCGAGAUUACGGGGCGGAAUUGAUCCGUAGGCCGUUAAAGCCCUGGGCUUAACCUGGGAACUGCGGUGGAUACUGUCGGGCUAGAGUGUGGUAGAGGGGAGUGGAAUUUCCGGUGUAGCAGUGAAAUGCGUAGAGAUCGGAAGGAACACCAGUGGCGAAGGCGGCUCCCUGGACUAACACUGACGCUGAGGUGCGAAAGCGUGGGGAGCAAACAGGAUUAGAUACCCCUGUAGUC